rnacentral:snoRNA from 15 species
AGCUCAUUUCAAAGAGGGCUUGUGGAACUGAGACCAAGAGCUCUUAAGGCUGUGACCAAAGAUUGAGAUUUGCCAUAGAAUGCCACAGUCACUCCCUAGUGCUGUUUUCUCCUGUGGAGAUACAAGA